rnacentral:tRNA from 1 species
UUUGGGUUGGCUCAGUUGUUAGAGCGUAGGUCUCAUAACCGAAAGGUUGCGGGAUCGAAUCCCGCUAGAGGCAAAA